AUGAAUAUUAUAAUGUCACAUUGUUACGGGGAUGUUGUAUUGCAACUUUAUCUAGAGAUAAUGGGUAGGAAAAAAAAAAGGAAAAUAGUGUUGGGAUAUUGUACUUUGAAGACACUUGGUUCUUCUGUUUUGUUCCAUCAAACAACCUUAAUAAAAAAGUGUUUGAAUUUCAAGAAAAAAAU